AGGCACUGAUGCUUCACAAAUCCAGUUCAAGAUGAGCAGGCUUCUGGUGAAUUUGGAAAUUUGCUCCCCAGGUGCCAGAUCAAUGCUCAAUCUGGAGACAUUUAGCUUUGUUUGAGUUCAUCCUUUUUCUUAUUAUUUUGAAGAAUUUUUGUUUCAGUCACUUUAUGGUAUGGUUAAAUAGACUGAUUACUUCUGGAAAAUUGGGCUGUGUCUAGUUGAAACGAUUCAUUGCAUGCUACUGCUGUUAGCCCCUGCAAUGUAACAUGCAAGUGUGAAAAUAAAUGCACCUUCUGAAAAUAAAACCGUUUUUAGUUUCCAA